UUUACUCAAAUUGAGUUAGUACAUUCAGUGAUAUAUCGCAAGGACCCUUGUUACAUUUGAUGGUAACGAAAUAACCAUAUUCUUGUGACUUUAUCUGACAUUAAAUUGACUUAGCCUGUAUCUUGACUUAAAAGUACUUUAAAGGGAACAUUUCUUCCAUUGCAUAGUGGGAAGGGGAAAGAGAUUCUGGCGCAUUUUUUUUUUGUGAUAGCAACUAUUGGUGUAUUAUUGUUUGUUGUUAUGAAGGUAUCAAAUAUGUCAAGUUGGUCUUUGGUUAGCUGCAGCCCAGAAAAAAUAACUGCGAGAAAAGCUUUAUAAGGAGUUAUUGUGAUGUGUUACGGUGUCGGGUUACUUCGAAGCGGAUUGCGUGAAUAAUUUACUAUCUGUGAAGGGGAAUAUGGAUGCGAAUGUGUACAUCGAUAUUUUAACAAAAAAUAUCUAUAUCAAACCAGGGAUCUGAAACAUAAAGCGUGAAAAACACGUAUUUGGAUAUUGUUCAAUUGUUCAAAGGUAGAUGACACCCCAUCACAAUCAGCGAAUUGCAAUAUUUUUGAGAAUUUGUGGGAUUACGCCAACGAUAGCCUUCACGAACGUUCCGUUUUGAGUAAAAAGCACUUGAUGUAGUAACUUCAGAAAGAAUUGAAAAAUCCAGCCAAAUAUGUCCAGUGUCUGAUCGAAUCGGUGUCACGAUGAGUGGAGGCUUAAUACGAAGUUAAAGAUCUUCAUACGAAGUAUUAAUUAGUCAUUUUUUAAGUUUUUACGAUUUUUUGGCUAUGUUCGGAUUUCAAAUUUUGCCUACAAAAAUACAGUAUUAUUUUUUGUAAUUCGCACUCAUUAACUGUUUUGUGUUAUCCUUUUUCGUUACUUUUCUUCGAAUUGUAUCCAACAGGCUGUACGUUACGUUCUUGUAAAAUAAAAACUAAUUACAUACAA